GUGUCAGCCGCCGCGGUAAUACGGAGGGUGCAAGCGUUAUCCGGAUUCACUGGGUUUAAAGGGUGCGUAGGCGGGUUGGUAAGUCCGUGGUGAAAUCUCCGAGCUUAACUCGGAAACUGCCGUGGAUACUAUCAAUCUUGAAUAUCGUGGAGGUAAGCGGAAUAUGUCAUGUAGCGGUGAAAUGCUUAGAUAUGACAUAGAACACCAAUUGCGUAGGCAGCUUACUACACGAUCAUUGACGCUGAGGCACGAAAGCGUGGGGAGCAAACAGGAUUAGAUACCCGGGUAGUCC
rnacentral:rRNA from 1 species